rnacentral:rRNA from 1 species
UACGGAGGGUGCGAGCGUUGUCCGGAAUCACUGGGCGUAAAGGGCGCGUAGGCGGCGCGGAUAGUCGGCGGUGAAAGCCCGGAGCUCAACUCCGGGUCGGCCGUCGAUACUUCCGGGCUUGAGCACUGUAGAGGCAGAUGGAAUUCCGGGUGUAGCGGUGGAAUGCGUAGAGAUCCGGAAGAACACCGGUGGCGAAGGCGGUCUGCUGGGCAGUUGCUGACGCUGAUGCGCGACAGCGUGGGGAGCAAACGAGGAUUAGAAACC